rnacentral:rRNA from 1 species
GCUGAACGCUGGCGGCGUGCCUAAUACAUGCAAGUCGAGCGAGCAGACGAGGAGUUUGCUCCUCUGACGUGUGCGGCCAGCGGGUGAGUAACAUGUGGAUAACCUACCUAUUAGGUUGUGAUACCUUCGGGAAUCCGGAAUUAAUCCCCGAUAACUUAUUCAACCGCAUGGUUUACUUGUGAAAGACGGUUUUGGCGUCACUUAUUGCUGGUUUCGCGCUGUAUUAGCUAGUUGUUAAUUCAACGGCUUUCCUAGUCUACGUUGCGUAGCCGAUGUCAGAGGGUGAACGGCCACACUGGGAGUGAGACACGGUCCAGACUCCUACGGGAGGCAGGAGUAGGGAAUCUUCGGCAAUGGGCGAAAUCAUGACGAAGCAACGCCGCGUGAGUGAUGAAGGUCUUCGGAUCGUAAAACUCUAUUAUUAGGGAAGGACAAAUAUGUAAGUACCUAUGCACGUCUUGACGGUACCUGAUCAGAAAGCCACGGCUAACUACGUG